rnacentral:tRNA from 1 species
GGCCUGGUGGUCUAGUAGUAUGAUUCCUUCUUAGGGUGUUCCCAGAGUUAACACGUGGUUGGAGGAGGUCCCGGGUUCAAUUCCCGGCCAGGCCC